rnacentral:rRNA from 1 species
AAAGCGUGCGCAGGCGGUUAUAUAAGACAGAGGUGAAAUCCCCGGGCUCAACCUGGGAACUGCCUUUGUGACUGUAUGGCUAGAGUGUGUCAGAGGGGGGUAGAAUUCCACGUGUAGCAGUGAAAUGCGUAGAUAUGUGGAGGAAUACCGAUGGCGAAGGCAGCCCCCUGGGAUAACACUGACGCUCAUGCACGAAAGCGUGGGGAGCAAACAGGAUUAGAUACCCUAGU